rnacentral:lncRNA from 1 species
GGUGAGGGCAGGGCCAGGACCCGGUGCAGGCGGUGUGGCCCCCACGGACUGAGCAGCCCAGGAGGGCCUGUGGCAGGGGAAGUAGGUUCCUGUCGUGUAGAUGCCCCUCUCUGAUGAGCAGGAGGUCUUGGGGUGAUGACAACGCAGUGAGAACUGGCCUUGAGCUGCUGGAGAGUCUGGAGGUGGUGGCAGGAAAUGGGACCAGAAGGGGCGCCAGCCUCAGGCUCUGGGAGGAAAAGGAAAGCAGAUGGAGGAGGAAGACCAUGUAAGGGAGUCCUGGGGCCGCCGCAAGGGGUACUGGGGACCGGCUGAGAAGGACGGGAAGUGAGUCUGCCCCGGCCCUGGACCCUCAUCGUGUCCCGGAUCAGCUUUCCACAAGCCGUCUGAGCCUGUUUGCACCUCUCGCCAGGGUGAGCACAGAGGCCACUCCAAGAUCCCUCUCUGUGGCGGACACUGGGCUGGGCGCUGGCAAGACAGACCUAAAAGUGACAGAGGUGCUCGAGUCAAGGUGAAUGUAUAUGAUUCAUCGGUCAAACGGGGACAUGUGUGAAGGGAAGUCUACUAAUAAUUAUGGUGGGACCGCAGCGUAACCCCUGGCAAACCAAGGUGCAAGGUCACUCCCGUUAAAUAGAAAAGUGAGGGGAGACUUAAUCGAUGGAGGACAGGCAGAGGGGAGUCUUGGCAGGGGUAAUGGCAGGUACGGGGAUGUGGCAAGCUUGGGGACAAGUGGAGAGUUUAUGGUGGCAAGGAUGUGGUGUGUGCUGCGGAGAAGGAGCAGAAGAGAGGCCGGGGUCUCCAGGCGGUAAGAGGUGGGCAGUUUGGAACAACUAGAACAGGAUGGCAGACACCUUGCAGCUGCCAGCCCUGGACCCAUGGCAGGAUCACUAAGUGACCAUCACACUCCUUCCCACUGAUUCAGCCUCACGGCCCUCCACACAGUGUUGGGGGGCGGGGAGGGGACCAGUCACUGCCAGCGGAAAAGCUGGGCCCCAGAUGAAACCUAUUUGACAUUGGAGGCUAAGCGGUGGGUACAAGUGUGGACUUUGCUGGAGAUGAGGCUGGAGUUCAAACUGAAAGAGACCUAGAAUGUGGGGGAAGGAGCUAGAAUGUUGUCUAGGUAUUAGGGAGCCAUCAGAGGGUGUUGGGGGGAGGGAUAUAACUAGACUAACAUUUCAGGAGUUGGUCUAAAUGAUCACUGCCAUUGGUGGAAGGACCUGGAAUGACAGGGUGAGAAUGGAUGGGGCUCUGACCGGAUGUGGAGCAGAGAUGUGGAGCAGAGACGUGGGGCUGAAGGCCGAGAAGAGGUUUUUCAUGGGGCAGGGAAAGAAGAGGCAGGCAGAUAGGCCUCUGGAGUCCUGGCCCCAGUGGGAAGACUGUUGGCAGGGAGGUGUAACAGCACAGCAGGAGGUCCUGAUAGGAAUCUUUGUUCCAGAGGCCGCCCUGAGACUCUGUGGCCCCAGGGGGAAGGAGGCCCAACAGGUCCGGUGGCUUUUACUGUGGAGAGCAUCAGAGCCUGGAGAAAUUCACCUUUAGAGGGAAACAAACCAUCAUGAAAUGCACCCCCCUCCCCCCCACUCAGGGCCCCUCCGCAGAGGAGAGGAGGUGGCCCUGGUACUGCUUAUAAUGUCUGGGGGUAACUGCAAGAGGGGGGCACUGACACGUCAUCCCUGAUUGAAUGUCUGCUUAGCCAUGGGCUGCCACCUGCCCCAGGGCCACCAGAAAGGGACAUGGGGGGCACAGUGCCAGGGUAAGGGCCUUUGGUUUCUGGCUCCAGGGAGGCACAGUGGUUGAGUGGAGCCACCAGCUGUGGCCAGUUGAAGGAAGUGGAGGCUGCAGGCUCCCUGGAGUCUUCUCAGCCUGGGGCCAGGGUCUCAGCCCUGGGGGUGGGUGUGGGGAGCUCAGAGCACAGGUUGGCUUUGUCUGAGGAGGGGCCACCAGUGUCUGGGAGAGGGGCCAGGAAUUGAGUCCCUGGUCAGUGGAACCCUGGGGGCCUCCACCUGCUACCACCAGAUCUACAGGCGUUGAGCGAAUUCCACCACAGCCGUGACUCUCCAAAGGGGAACCACAGCCUGGCCAGGUGCCUCUAGAAGGACGACCAUUCCCUCUGUCUUCUCCCUUAACCCCAGCUCUGGGGUGAGCCCAGAGGAAGGGCGUGGAUGCAUGUGUGACAGAGACGACACAGGCACAUACGUGCACAUUAACACACUCAGGCCCCCAGAGCUCCCAGCUUGGCUCACCUUGUGGUGGAAGAAGAAAGUUUGGAAUCAGAUCUGAGCCUGAAGGGUUUUUUUGGUUUUGGUUUUUUUGGCUGCUCGCAUGGCAUGUGGAAGUGCUCGGAAUAAGGAUUGAACCCACGUUGUAGCCAUGACCCAAGCCCCUACAGUGACAAUGCAGGAUCCUUAACCCACUGUACCACAAGAGAACGCCUGAGCCUAAAGUUUUACAAGGCCCAGGUCUUGGGAGUUCCUAUUGUGGCACAGAGGGUUAAGAAUCUGACUGCAGCAUCUGGAGUUGAGGCAUAACAUGGGUUUGAUCUCUGGUUUGGCGCAGUGGGUUAAAGGAUCUGGCGAGGCCACAGCUAUGGCACAGGUCACAGCUCUGGCUCAGAUUCAGCCCCUGGCUCAGAACGUCCUUAUGCAGAGGUGUGGCCAUUAAAAAAGAAAACUCCCAGAGCUUAACCAGAAUGAGACUGCUUUUAUAUCCAAAAGUGUCUAAACGUUAGAAACUGGACCAAAUACUGUCAAAGGUGCAGAACUCCCCUCUGGUGGAGGGGCUCACAGAGCCCAACUGGUAGCUGUUCUUCGAAAAAUAAAGCUGUGCCCAAAUUGUAACCCAGUGAAUGACCCGAAGGUCUUUAAUGAGCCCUUUCCAAGGGGAACACAGAAAGGGGAUGGGAUUUGAAGGGGAAAGAUGAUCAGAGACCGGGAUGGAACGAAGCUUUAUUGAAUGAAUUAGGCAGAGGGGUCCGGGAAGGUCAGACACCUGUUUGUCCACCCCCUGCAAGGUCUGGGAGCGCUGUCCCUAUGGGAAUCGUGGGGUCACUGUGUCAAUGGUUGGGCUUCUGCCCUCAACCCAAUGCUGAGCCCCCUCUAGGUUGGUUUCAGACUUGAGGAGACCUCUCCCUCCAAGGCCGGGCCUGAAUCUCAGGAUCCCUUAACCUUAAGUGGGCCCCGUGGGCCAGGCCUGAAACCAGGGAGGUGACCUUCCAGAGAGGAAGGGGCCAGCAGCCAGAGCUUGGCCCUCGCUUAGCCUGUCACCCCUGGGGCCAGGGCGGGAAGACAGCAGAGGGAAGAGGAGGAGGAGAGCUUUGGCCAAGGGUGGGGUCGGAUUCCCCCAGGUCCGGCUCCCUUGUGAGAGGUGGCGGGUAAGGAAAGAACGUGUGAACGAGGGAGUCUUGCCCCCAGUGCCUAGCGCUGCAGAGAGGGGUUCGGUUCGUGUCGGGGUGUCUGAGGGUGAGGGGUCUGGGGUGAUCCAGGGGGAUGGGUGUGAGGUCGGGGGCCCUCAGGAGAAGGACAUCUGGAUGUCAUCAGAGUCGAGCGGACGUGCAGCCUUGGAGCCAAAGCAGAGAGCACGAAGAGGCGGCGAGGAGAAGGGAGCCUCGGAGGAGCCUGUAUUUGGAGGCGGGAGGAAAAGCUGCAGGAACUGGCCCAAGAGCUCCGCAGCCGCCAGAUCCUGGCCGGCCUCCGGGCCCUUCUGGCAGCUGACAAGAUGCAUCUCUCAACUGCUCUGGAAAACCUAAUGGCCUUGAGUCUGCCCAGGUGGGCAGCGGGACAAAUGUACCUCCCCGCUUCCUGCACCCCCUCCUCGGGCUCUGGCGGCUGCUCAGGGCCGCCUCUGAGACCGCCCCACCCUGGCCAGCGGCACCCUCCUCCCUCUUGGGGCUCAGCGUCCCAGACUUUCUCCUCAUCAGAGUUUACCAGGCAGGUCUGAUUCUCUCUCCCGAGUCCCCCGCCAAGUUCUGCCUGGCUCCCUGCCCCUCUCUCUCCUCUUCUUAGAGCAGGAGCCAGUUGAGGCCUGCGAUGAGCCUCGAGCCAGGCCCGGGGACCCUUCCCACCCAAGGCAACGAAGCCAGCCCACUGCCGCUCAGAAGUCCCUCUGCUUGAGGAGUUCCUGUUGUGGUGCAGUGGAAAUGAACCCGACUAGUAUCCAUGAGGACGCAGGUUCGAUCCCUGGCCUCGCUCAGUGGGUCGGGCAGAACAAUUCAACCUUUCCAGGCCCAGUCCCAAAUCCUGCCCAACUUUGCACAGUCCAGCCUGGGAAGGCACAGACACAGAAAGGACCCGUCUUUGAACAGAACUGGCCUUCCUUCCAGGGCAGCCAGCUGACAUUGACCAUGGGCUCCCUCACAGAUCAAAGUGCUAUUUUCAGAACAACGGGGAAAGAAUGCCAAAUACACCCCUCCCAAAAAAAAAACCAUGGAAUUAAGGGAAUUUCUGUUUUACAAGCCACCCGAGUCCUGACUAACUGGCUCCAACGUGUCCUUCCAUGGUGACAUCUGAGUUUUGUCAAGACCCCACUACAUGGAAUCAUAGGAGGUGGGGGAGUUCCAGGGGGAGAAGCAGGUAAGUAAGGAGGGCGUCGUGGAAGAGGUGGCCCUGCUCAGAGGACGGACAGCAAGAACCCCUCAAGGCUGUAAUUAAGAAGACACAUAAUUGCAAGUGUUGGCAAGGAUGUGGAGAACUUGGCACCCUCAUACCCUGCUGGUGGGAAUAUAAAAUGGCACAGAAAACAGUCUGGCACAUCCUCAAAAAGUUAAGGAGUUCCCGUCGUGGCGUAGGGGUUAACAAAUCCGACUAGGAACCACGAGGUUGCGGGUUCAAUCCCUGGCCUCGCUCAGUGGGUUAAGGAUCCGGCGUUGCCGUGAGCUGUGGUGUGGGUCGCAGACGUGGCUCGGAUCCUCUGUUGCUGUGGCUCUGGCCUAGGCCGGUGGCUACAGCUCCGAUGAGACCCCUAGCCUGGGAAUCUCCAUAUGCCAUGGGUGCGGCCCUAGAAAAGGCAAAAAGACAAAAAAAAUGCAAAAAAAAAAAAAAGU